UGAAGCCAAUGAUGAAGAAAAGUUAUCCCUGUCUCAGUGUACAAGAUGCCGACUCUUUCCUCGUUACUGAGGCUUCA